UACGUAGGGCGCGAGCGUUGUCCGGAAUCAUUGGGCGUAAAGAGCUCGUAGGCGGCCGGUUGCGUCUGCUGUGAAAUCCCGGGGCUUAACCCCGGGCGUGCAGUGGAUACGGGCUGGCUGGAGGCAGGCAGGGGAGAAGUGGAAUUCCCGGUGUAGCGGUGAAAUGCGCAGAGUAUCGGGAGGAACACCGGUGGCGAAGGCGGUUCUCUGGGCCUUACCUGACGCUGAGGAGCGAAAGCGUGGGGAGCGAACAGG
rnacentral:rRNA from 1 species